rnacentral:antisense_RNA from 1 species
UCCCGCGGCCCAGCUGGUUUGUUUUCAACAAUACGGUCAAAGCCACACGCCCACCGUUAUUUACGCCGCCAGCCAGCGCCGGCACUUCGGAGGGAGGAAGGAAGCACCUAAGGCGCUGGGGGCGGAAACGCUGAGGAGGAGGGGUGCGCCUCAGGCGAGAGCUGGCCGGCGCCGACCCGGCCUGGGGCAGCGGCCGCAGCUCCCCGCCCGGGACCGCGCAAAAAGGCCCAAGGUCCCGGGCCGCACUCACCGAAGUCCAGGAACUGCUUCAUGGAGAGCGGGGACGGCGAGAAGCGCGCGUAGAAGUCCACCUGGCCCGGAACGCCGCGCUCGGACGCCGGGCUGGAGCCCGAGUCCGAGCUGAAGCUGCGGCUGGAGCCGGCGGCGCGCAGCCCCGGGCCCGGGCCGGCAAAGGCGGCUCCGCGAAGCAGCCGCGCCAGCCUCAUGCCGAGUCCCGCUAGAGAAGCCACAGCCAGUGCGCCAGGUUUCCCCGCGCCUCUGCCGAGUGGGUUGAAGGCAAAUACUUGAAGUUGCAAUCGAAGGUCAAGAAAAUGGAAUCAAGAGGUCACAAUCCUUCUUUGAUGAUGGCUUAGAAAGCUGGAAGACACUCAACAUUGAAUCCUGGGGCUCUGUGCCAUGCUUGCUAGGAGAAACAGCCACCAUGAGUCCAUCUUUCGGAUCUCAAGUGAACAGCAUGGUAUCGGGGAACACUGUCAUCGUACCUAGAGCGUUUAAAGAAUCCACACUAGAGAAGAGGGAAAGAGAAAGAGAAACAAAUUAAUCUCACAAAGAAGCAAGUACACUAAAUGGGAAUGUCUAAGCUUUCUGUUCAGCUAUAUCUACCUCUGGACUAAGGGGAAAAAGACAUGGUUUUCUUUUAAGAAAGAACCAAGAGGUUGAAAUGAAAGAAGAGCCAGUGGGGAUCAACGGAAGAGAACAGCUGUAAAACUGGAAAAAAAGUCCAUUUUCAUCUUCUCUUUACAUUUUAUAACAAAGGUAGGCUACCUCUUUACUAACAAUUUAAGAGUUUAUGAAAACAGUGCUUCCAUAUUUAAAAAUAAUCACAUUAUAUGUAAAAUAUCUGAUUAUCAGAUUAGAUUAAGAAUAAUUUUUAAAAGGCAUAAACCAAAGAUUAUUUCAUGCCCCUUUCCCACUAAUAAAAUGCAAAUCAUGUCACAAGUAUUUUACAAAUUACUAUUUGAAUAUGCCAGUGUUCCAACAGGUCAACUUUAUAAUCUUUUUCUCUCCUCUGAGGCUGUAGUACACAUAUCACUUCUCUCAUUAGCCAGGAGGUCAUUUAUGUUGCCUGGAUUUGCUAUUGUGCUUCUAAUUAAGCUAUUUCAUUAAUAAAUCACAUAGUAACUGUUUCCUGCAAUAAAAAUCAUGUGCUGCAUAGGA